UAACAUUACUAGUAAACACUGACAUUACUAGUAAACACUAACAUUACUAGUAAACACUGACAUUACUAGUAAACACUAAUAAACAUUAACAUUACUGGUAAACACAAACAUUACUAGUAAACACUGACAUUACUAGUAAACACUAACAUUACUAGUAAACACUAAAACGCUAACAUUACUAGUAAACACUAAUAAACACCAACAAUACUAGUAAACACUAACAUUACCAGGAAACACUAACAAACACGAGCAUUACUAGUAAACACUAACAUUACUAGUAAACACUAACAUUACUAGUAAACCCUGACAAUACUAAAACACUAACAUUACUAGUAAACACUAGUAAACACUAACAUUACUAGUAAACACUAAUAAACACUAACAUUACUAGUUAACCCUGACAUUACUAAAACACUAACAUGACUAGUAAACACUAACAUUACUAGUAAACACUAGUAAACACUAACAUUACUAGUAAACACUGACAUUACUAGUAAACACUGACAUUACUAGUAAACACUAACAUUACUAGUAAACACUAGUAAACACUAACAUUACUAGUAAACACUAGUAAACUCUAACAUUACUAGUAAACACUAACAUUACUGGUAAACCCUGACAAUACUAAAACACUAACAUUACUAGUAAACACUAGUAAACACUAACAUUACUAGUAAACACUAGUAAACACUAACAUUACUAGUAAACACUAAUAAACACUAACAUUACUAGUUAACCCUGACAUUACUAAAACACUAACAUGACUAGUAAACACUAACAUUACUAGUAAACACUAGUAAACACUAACAUUACUAGUAAACACUGACAUUACUAGUAAACACUGACAUUACUAGUAAACACUAACAUUACUAGUAAACACUAGUAAACUCUAACAUUACUAGUAAACACUAACAUUACUAGUAAACACUGACAUUACCAGUAAACACUAGUAAACACUAACAUUACUAGUAAACACUAACAUUACUAGUAAACACUAACAUUACUAGUAAACACUGACAUUACUAGUAAACGCUAGUAAACACUAACAUUACUAGUAAACAUUAACAUUACUAGUAAACACUAGUAAACACUAACAUAACUAAUAAACACUAACAUAACUAAUAAACACUAACAUUACUAGUAAACACUAACAUUACUAGUAAACACUAGUAAACACUAACAUUAAUAGUAAACACUGACAUUACUAGUAAACACGAGUAAACACUAACAUUACGAGUAAACACUAACAUUACUAGUAAACACUAGUAAACACUAACAUUACUAGUAAACACGAGUAAACACUAACAUUACUAGUAAACACUGACAUUACCAGUGAACACUGACAUUACUAGUAAACGCUGACAUUACUAGUAAACACUAACAUUACUAGUAAACACUGACAUUACUAGUAAACACUAACAUUACUAGUAAACACUAACAUUACUAGUAAACACUUGUAAACACUAACAUUACUAGUAAACACUAACAUUACUAGUAAACACUUGUAAGCACUAACAUUACUAGUGAACACUGCCAUUACUAGUAAACACUAACAUUACUGGUAAACACUAACAUUACUAGUAAACACUGACAUUACUAGUAAACACUAACAUUACUAGUAAACACUAGUAAACACUGCCAUUACUAGUAAACAGUAACAUUACUAGUAAACACUGACAUUUCUAGUAAACACUGACAUUACUAGUAAACACUAGUAAACACUGACAUUACUAGUAAACACUGACAUUACUAGUAAACACUAACAUUACUUGUAAACACUAACAUUACUAGUAAACACUAAUAUGAAGAAAAGGAUGGGGAGCGCAGCAAAGUAGCCUCAGUUAGCCUCGCUAGGAAUUUGAUGGAGUCAAGACAGACACUACCUGUCGUGGAGGGUAAACGCAGGUAUGAGCUGUAUUACCUACUUAUUCGUCAGUGGUCAUUACGUAUACUCCUUCAUCGUCAGGCUACGUAUCAGUAGUAGUGUAGUGUAGGUAUACUCCUUCAUCGUCAGGCUACGUAUCAGUAGUAGUGUAGAGGAGGUAUACUCCUUCAUCCUCAGGCUACGUAUCAGUAGUAGUGUAGAGGAGGUAUACUCCUUCAUCCUCAGGCUACUUAUCAGUAGUAGUGUAGUGUAGGUAUACUCCUUCAUCCUCAGGCUACGUAUCAGUAGUAGUGUAGUGUAGGUAUACUCCUUCAUCCUCAGUGUAGUGGAGGUAUACUCCUUCAUCCUCAGGCUACGUAUCAGUAGUAGUGUAGUGUAGGUAUACUCCUUCAUCCUCAGGCUACGUAUCAGUAGUAGUGUAGUGUAGGUAUACUCCUUCAUCCUCAGGCUACGUAUCAGUAGUAGUGUAGGUAUACACCUUCAUCCUCAGUGUAGUGGAGGUAUACUCCUUCAUCGUCAGGCUAUGUAUCAGUAGUAGUGUAGUGUAGGUAUACUCCUUCAUCCUCAGGCUACGUAUCAGUAGUAGUGUAGGUAUACUCCUUCAUCCUCAGUGUAGUGGAGGUAUACUCCUUCAUCCUCAGGCUACGUAUCAGUAGUAGUGUAGUGUAGGUAUACUCCUUCAUCCUCAGGCUACGUAUCAGUAGUAGUGUAGGUAUACUCCUUCAUCCUCAGUGUAGUGGAGGUAUACUCCUUCAUCCUCAGGCUACGUAUCAGUAGUAGUGUAGUGUAGGUAUACUCCUUCAUCCUCAGGCUACGUAUCAGUAGUAGUGUAGGUAUACUCCUUCAUCCUCAGUGUAGUGGAGGUAUACUCCUUUAUCCUCAGGCUACGUAUCAGUAGUAGUGUAGUGGAGGUAUACUCCUUCAUCCUCAGGCUACGUAUCAGUAGUAGUGUAGUGGAGGUAUACUCCUUCAUCCUCAGUGUAGUGGAGGUAUACUCCUUCAUCCUCAGGCUACGUAUCAGUAGUAGUGUAGUGGAGGUAUACUCCUUCAUCCUCAGUGUAGUGGAGGUAUACUCCUUCAUCCUCAGGCUACGUAUCAGUAGUAGUGUAGAGGAGGUAUACUCCUUCAUCCUCAGGCUACGUAUCAGUAGUAGUGUAGAGGAGGUAUACUCCUUCAUCCUCAGGCUACGUAUCAGUAGUAGUGUAGAGGAGGUAUACUCCUUCAUCCUCAGGCUACGUAUCAGUAGUAGUGUAGAGGAGGUAUACUCCUUCAUCCUCAGGCUACGUAUCAGUAGUAGUGUAGAGGAGGUAUACUCCUUCAUCCUCAGGCAACGUAUCAGUAGUAGUGUAGAGGAGGUAUACUCCUUCAUCCUCAGGCUACGUAUCAGUAGUAGUGUAGAGGAGGUAUACUCCUUCAUCCUCAGGCUACGUAUCAGUAGUAGUGUAGAGGAGGUAUACUCCUUCAUCCUCAGGCAACGUAUCAGUAGUAGUGUAGAGGAGGUAUACUCCUUCAUCCUCAGGCUACGUAUCAGUAGUAGUGUAGAGGAGGUAUACUCCUUCAUCCUCAGGCUACGUAUCAGUAGUAGUGUAGAGGAGGUAUACUCCUUCAUCCUCAGGCUACGUAUCAGUAGUAGUGUAGAGGAGGUAUACACCGCAUCAAUAAAGCUGAUGGAAGAGAAUGUUUAGCUUAAAAUGUUAUUCAGCUGUUAUUUCUUCACAUUGGUUCACUGACCGAGUGUACAAAGCUGUUAUUUCUUCACAUUGUGUACAUUGGUUCACUGACAGUGUACAAAGCUGUCAAGUCAAAGGGUGGUUACUUUGAACAAUCUCAAAUAUAAAAUAU